GCAUGGAUGUCAUGGCUGUUACGGGAGCUAUGUGUUGAUAGGUUGCCUUCAUCAUAUGAUUUGGGAGACGAUACGGAUGGUGUCCAUCCACCGAGGACCUUCUCUAGGCAUCCGCUCUGAAGGACCAAUGCAGAAGACACAGUAACCAGGCAUAUUGUAAGCCACAUCUUCGUGUUCUUCUGCUGCUUCAACUAAACCACAAAUAGACUAAUACCCACGUUAUGUGCACCAACGAGACAGGUUGGUCCCUCUGGAGACAGUUGUUUUCUUAGUCUUCUUUAAUUGUGCUCAGUAACCUUCAAAUAACACCAGUGAAAACCCCACUGCAUUUUGCCUUGACAUUUCAAUGUGCCCCCCAAGUAAACCCAAUGGUCCACGGGCUUCACCCUCUACUGUCACCACCUGCUUGGUUGAGCCCACUGCUUCUCUGUUCCUUUCAGAUGUCUUCCACUUGUCAUGUGAUGAUGUGAUUUCCUUACAUACAUACUAAUAAAUAAACAUUUCUUUUUCAUGAACUUCUCCUGAGACCCUUCACCGACUGACCAUUACUGGAAGAAAAAAACAAAAACAAAAACAACAACAACACAGAACAUCAAGCAGGAAGUUUGCAAGGGAACCUGACUGCAGGGAACUGACAAGGUCUCAUACAGGCUGCAACUGAAGAGAACAUUCAAAGAAGGAAAUGACAGAGAAGAUUUGCUGUAAUGAGCUAUGUGUUCUCCAUAGUCUAUUAUGGGGCACGGAAUGGUGGUAGACUAGGGAGAAUGAAAAUGAAUCAUCAGAUGAUGGACAAAGCUGGCAGAGCUAAGAAGAGGAAAUCAGAGCAGCAUCUGGUGAUCACGUAUCCUGAAAGAAGUGUAAGUGCUGAGGACAAAGGGUCAGAACUGAGCUGAGGAGAACAUUUUGGACAGAACACUUCUUAGACAAAGAAGAGAAGAAAAAUUUUCCCUUAUCCCCCUUUUUCAUCCAUUCCAUUUUUUCCCUUUUCCUUAGAUAUCUUUCAUAGGAAACUUCUUACAACUUAGUAAUAAAGGCUAUAAUCACUUUUCAAA